AUGAGCUCAAAAUCACAAAAGAAGCAAAAAGACCACUAAUUCUACCAUAAAUACAAGAAAAGGAACAAAAGUGGACUGCCCGGACCCUCAACGGCACCUCCCAAGACAAAGAGAAGAAAACAGAGUCUGAACACGCCCCGUGUCCAGCGAACACGGGGGCAGUGUUUUUGUCUUCCUUUUGUAUUUUCAGGAUGAAAUGAGCUCAAAAUCACAAAAGAAGCAAAAAGACCACUAAUUCUACCAUAAAUACAAGAAAAGGAACAAAAGUGGACUGCCCGGACCCUCAACGGCACCUCCCAAGACAAAGAGAAGAAAACAGAGUCUGAACACGCCCCGUGUCCAGCGAACACGGGGGCGUGCCCAGGAAGCAGCAGAAAAGACAAACCAGUAGAAGCUUCCAUUGCUCACCACGGGGCCGUGCCCAGCGGGCACGGGGGCGUGUUGAAAGUACAGCAGGCGCAUUAAUUGUAAUUCGCAAUUACAAUUAAUGAAGAGAG
rnacentral:lncRNA from 1 species